rnacentral:rRNA from 1 species
GAUGCCCUGGCAGUCAGAGGCGAUGAAGGGCGUACUAAUCUGCGAUAAGCGCCGGUAAGGUGAUAUGAACCGUUAUAACCGGCGAUACCCGAAUGGGGAAACCCAGUGUGAUUCGUCACACUAUCAUUAACUGAAUCCAUAGGUUAAUGAGGCGAACCGGGGGAACUGAAACAUCUAAGUACCCCGAGGAAAAGAAAUCAACCGAGAUUCCCCCAGUAGCGGCGAGCGAACGGGGAGGAGCCCAGAGCCUGAAUCAGCAUGUGUGUUAGUGGAAGCGUCUGGAAAGGCGCGCGAUACAGGGUGACAGCCCCGUACACAAAAGCGCAUGUGCUGUGAGCUCGAUGAGUAGGGCGGGACACGUGGUAUCCUGUCUGAAUAUGGGGGGACCAUCCUCCAAGGCUAAAUACUCCUGACUGACCGAUAGUGAACCAGUACCGUGAGGGAAAGGCGAAAAGAACCCCGGCGAGGGGAGUGAAAAAGAACCUGAAACCGUGUACGUACAAGCAGUGGGAGCCCCACCACCAAAGCAUUUGCUGUACCGCGUUGACGGAGCGAAGCGACGUC